GGUCAGAUCAAUUUCCUCAACAGUGUCAUUGUUGACCUUCAGCGGAAAAAUGAGGAGUUGAAGAUUAAGCUGAAGAAGCUGGUUUUGUCUGAAUUUAAUGGAAAUGACGAGGCAGAGGGAUUUGAUGCCGCUCCAAAGCGUGAGAAGAGGUCAACCCCACGUCUUUUCUGUGAUAUCUGUGACUGCUUCGACCUCCAUGACACAGAGGACUGUCCCACUCAGGCCCAGAGCCCGGACUCUGUACCUCACACCACGUACCAUGGAAACCCAGCCGACGAGAGGCCCUACUGUGACAUCUGUGAGGCUUUUGGACACACCACCCAAUCCUGCAAUGAUGACCAAACAUUUUGAUCACAAUCACCCCUCUGCAGAGACCCCAUAUGUAUUUUUUUACGGUAUUUAUGCAUAUCAUUGUCAGUGACUCACCAUCUUAAUCCUGACUCUACCAAACUACUACACUCCAAGCAUUAGCUCUUAUCCAAAAACUGAAUUGGUGCAAUAUUUGUGUUUUAAACAAAAGGGAUCUAUCCUCUGCACGUCAUGUAUCAAUGUUUCCUUUGGAUUUAACUGUCAGAAACAAGUAAUGCUACAUUUAUUGUUUUCUGGGCUUUAUUUUUUAAGAUAAAAAUAGUUAUGCACAUUUUGGGCACAAGGGAAAUCAAACGCUUCAGACAUUAUCUAAUGUACAGACUUAUCAUAGGUGAGAUACUGCCAAGAAAUAAAAGAUUUUAAUUCUUUAAAAAACUAUUUUCUGUUUUUAGUUAUUAGUGGAAUAUGACCACUGAACAAAUUUACUUGUUUCAUGUAUUGUCAAAUUGGCAAUUACACUAGCUGCUAAUUAGCUUAAGCACAUUUCAUGGUAAAUACACUUUUCAGCUAUUUAUUAUUUAUUUGUUCUUACUAACCAGUAACAGAAGAAUAAGCUAGAAGUGUGUUUUAAUGUAAAGUAGCCACACAGAAACUUUCCAAGCUCAACUAAAGCAGGGGUCUCUAACUGGUUGCUCUCUUCUAAGUAGAUAAAAUUUUAUUCGUCACAUUCCAUUUUAAAGCUACUAUCCGUAACUUGAUAUUCCUUCACCAGUAGAUGGUGAACCAGUCCCCCCUCCCAUCACCUGGCCUUUGUUCAGGCCCACCUGUGCUCUGUUCCUCUUCUGUUGGGCCAGAGAUGGCCUCUAGUGGUUAUAUGUGAGAAUACGACGGGUGGGCCAGCCAGUCUGAUUACAGAUGGCUAACUUUUUUUUUUUUAUUGCGACUGAGUUAAAGUGUAGCUCCCCUUUUCGUUUCAUAAAAGUAGCCCUCAAUGUAGUCCCCAAAGGUUGGGGAUCCCUGAACUAAAGCCUGGAACAUGGUAUUGCACUGCCCACUUUAACAAUAUCUUCUUUAGAAACACUCAGUGCUUUAAUCAAUUCUAGAUAAAGAAAAAUUAUUUUAUCUGAAGUCAGUGCACAUUAAUAUUGCAUUGUAUUGCAAGUUAUUUCCUAAGCACAAUAUUGAAUCAUAUUGAAUCCUUCCAUGUAUGUAUGUAACUCUUAACACUGCAACAUGUAAAUAGUAAUUAAAGCAUAUUUUGAUUAACUUUGACACCAUGCCAUAGAGAUAAAACUGCUCUUGUUCUAAUGACAUUGUACUUUAAGAGUCAAUUUAUACUGACAUUAAAAUGUUUGUGUAAUGUUUUAUAUGCAACAUCUAAUUACCAUUUGAUGCAGACGUGUUUUAAAUGUCAUUGUUUUGUAUGUUAUCCUAAAUUGUUCAAUAAAGUUCAAAUUAUA